rnacentral:rRNA from 1 species
AGCGAACGUUAGCGGCGCGCCUAACACAUGCAAGUCGCACGAGAAAGGGCUUCGGCCCCGGUAAAGUGGCGCACGGGUGAGUAACACGUGGGCAACCUGCCCAACCCUGGGGGAUAACCUGCCGAAAGGCGGGCUAAUACCGCGUACGAGGGCUCGACUUCGGUCGGGUUCUGAAAGCAGGCCUCUGUAUACAAGCUUGUGGGGUUGGAUGGGCCCGCGCUCCAUCAGCUAGUUGGUGAGGUAACGGCUCACCAAGGCUACGACGGAUAGCUGGUCUGAGAGGAUGAUCAGCCACACUGGAACUGAGACACGGUCCAGACUCCUACGGGAGGCAGCAGUGGGGAAUCUUGCGCAAUGGACGAAAGUCUGACGCAGCGACGCCGCGUGGGUGACGAAGGCCUUCGGGUUGUAAAGCCCUGUGGGGUGAGACGAACAGCUGGGAUUCGAAUAGGGUCUUGGUCUGACGGUAUCACCUUAGCAAGCACCGGCUAACUCUGUGCCAGCCGCCGCUGUAAAAC